AUGAACGCUAGCUACAGGCUUAACACAUGCAAGUCGAGGGGCAUCAGGAAGAAAGCUUGCUUUCUUUGCUGGCGACCGGCGCACGGGUGAGUAACACGUAUCCAACCUGCCCUUUACUCGGGGAUAGCCUUUCGAAAGAAAGAUUAAUACCCGAUAGUAUAAUGAUUCCGCAUGGUUUGAUUAUUAAAGGAUUCCGGUAAAGGAUGGGGAUGCGUUCCAUUAGGUUGUUGGUGAGGUAACGGCUCACCAAGCCUUCGAUGGAUAGGGGUUCUGAGAGGAAGGUCCCCCACAUUGGAACUGAGACACGGUCCAAACUCCUACGGGAGGCAGCAGUGAGGAAUAUUGGUCAAUGGGCGAUGGCCUGAACCAGCCAAGUAGCGUGAAGGAUGACUGCCCUAUGGGUUGUAAACUUCUUUUAUAUUAGAAUAAAGUGCAGUAUGUAUACUGUUUUGUAUGUAUAAUAUGAAUAAGGAUCGGCUAACUCCGUGCCAGCAGCCGCGGUAAUACGGAGGAUCCGAGCGUUAUCCGGAUUUAUUGGGUUUAAAGGGAGCGUAGGUGGACUGGUAAGUCAGUUGUGAAAGUUUGCGGCUCAACCGUAAAAUUGCAGUUGAUACUGUCAGUCUUGAGUACAGUAGAGGUGGGCGGAAUUCGUGGUGUAGCGGUGAAAUGCUUAGAUAUCACGAAGAACUCCGAUUGCGAAGGCAGCUCACUGGACUGCAACUGACACUGAUGCUCGAAAGUGUGGGUAUCAAACAGGAUUAGAUACCCUGGUAGUCCACACAGUAAACGAUGAAUACUCGCUGUUUGCGAUAUACAGUAAGCGGCCAAGCGAAAGCAUUAAGUAUUCCACCUGGGGAGUACGCCGGCAACGGUGAAACUCAAAGGAAUUGACGGGGGCCCGCACAAGCGGAGGAACAUGUGGUUUAAUUCGAUGAUACGCGAGGAACCUUACCCGGGCUUAAAUUGCAGUGGAAUGAUGUGGAAACAUGUCAGUGAGCAAUCACCGCUGUGAAGGUGCUGCAUGGUUGUCGUCAGCUCGUGCCGUGAGGUGUCGGCUUAAGUGCCAUAACGAGCGCAACCCUUAUCUUUAGUUACUAACAGGUCAUGCUGAGGACUCUGGAGAGACUGCCGUCGUAAGAUGUGAGGAAGGUGGGGAUGACGUCAAAUCAGCACGGCCCUUACGUCCGGGGCUACACACGUGUUACAAUGGGGGGUACAGAAGGCAGCUACCUGGUGACAGGGUGCUAAUCCCAAAAGCCUCUCUCAGUUCGGAUCGAAGUCUGCAACCCGACUUCGUGAAGCUGGAUUCGCUAGUAAUCGCGCAUCAGCCACGGCGCGGUGAAUACGUUCCCGGGCCUUGUACACACCGCCCGUCAAGCCAUGGGAGCCGGGGGUACCUGAAGUACGUAACCGCAAGGAGCGUCCUAGGGUAAAACUGGUGACUGGGGCU
rnacentral:rRNA from 1 species